rnacentral:rRNA from 1 species
AGUGGAUGGGGAGCAACCUAGUUGUGCGUGUGUAAAGGUAGUGCCAAGAAAAGCGAUGAUCAUUUUGAAAAUCAAUUCCCGGUACCCGAAACCGACACAGGUGGGCAAGUAGAGAAUACUAAGGGGCGCGAGGUAACUCUCUCCAAGGAACUCGGCAAAAUGACCCCUUAACUUAGGGAGAAGGGGUGCCACCGAGAGGUGGUCGCAGUGAAGAGGCCCAGGCGACUGUUUAGCAAAAACAUAGGUCUCUGCAAACUCGAAAGAGGAGGUAUAGGGGCUGACGCCUGCCCAGUGCCGGAAGGUUAAAGAAGUUGGUCAGUUUUAGGAUGAAGCUAGCGACUGAAGCCCCGGUGAACGGCGGCCGUAACUAUAACGGUCCUAAGGUAGCGAAAUUCCUUGUCGGGUAAGUUCCGACCCGCACGAAAGGCGUAACGAUCUGGGCGCUGUCUCGGAGAGAGGCUCGGCGAAAUAGGAUUGUCUGUGAAGAUACGGACUACCUGCAUUUGGACAGAAAGACCCUAUGAAGCUUUACUAUAGCUUGGAAUUGUGUUCGGGCUUCCUGUGCGCAGGAUAGGUGGGAGGCGUAGAAGGUAUUCUUGUGGGGAUACUGGAGCCAACGGUGAGAUACCACUCUCAGGAGGCUAGAAUUCUAACUUAAUUAAGGACAGUUUCAGGUGGGUAGUUUGACUGGGGCGGUCGCCUCCAAAAAGGUAACGGAGGCGUACAAAGGUUCCCUCAGACUGGUUGGAAAUCAGUCGAAGAGUGCAAAGGCAGAAGGGAGCUUGACUGCGAGAAGUACAGUUCGAGCAGGGUGGAAACACGGUCUUAGUGAUCCGACGGUGCUGUGUGGAAGGGCCGUCGCUCAACGGAUAAAAGUUACUCUAGGAUAACAGGCUGAUCUCCCCCAAGAGUUCACAUCGACGGGGAGGUUUGGCACCUCGAUGUCGGCUCAUCGCAACCUGGGGCGGAAGUACGUCCCAAGGGUUGGGCUGUUCGCCCAUUAAAGCGGUACGUGAGCUGGGUUCAGAACGUCGUGAGACAGUUCGGUCCAUAUCCGAUGUAGGCGUGAGAAUAUUGAGAGGAGCCUUCCUUAGUACGAGAGGACCGGGAAGGACGCACCGCUGGUGUACCUGUUAUGAUGCCAAUUGUGAUCGCAGGGUAGCCAAGUGCGGAGAGGAUAACCGCUGAAAGCAUCUAAGUGGGAAGCCCACCUCAAGAUGAGUAUUCUGGUGUAAGGUCACGGGAAGACGACCCGUAAAUAGGCACGAGGUGGAAGUGCAGAGAUGUAUGAAGCCGAAGUGUACUAAUAGACCGUCGGCUUGACC